CAGGGCUCAGGCCAGAACUAUGUAAGCCGUGGUCUGAGCUAGUCAGAGGGGCCCAGGCUGGGACAGAGGGUGUACUCCUGAAGGCUCCAAGCAAAGCUGCAGCAGCCCUACAAGUGAGAACAACAGGCAGCCGGACUCAGAAGGCACAGUUCAGAUUGAUUAAAGCAACUGCCACUGAAUUGGGCCCAACACAGUGGGUCUAAGCUGGACAGCUUAGAUUCAUAAAAAGGAGUGGAAGCUGUGUUGGCUGAGACCCCAACAGAGUGAACAAGAGAGGCAGAUAACACCUGCAAGGCACAGAGCAUGGAGCAGAACUUUAUGGCUGACAAGGAAGCAUAUCAGAUCACGUGAGGAAGGAAGGCUUUUGAAGAACUCUCCAGGGCAGGAGCAAAGGAAAGCUUACAGAACCAAGCUGAUGCUACCCCUGUGCUCUUUUCUUCUUAUCUUAUCCAGAAGUGAACUUGUGGCUAUUUGACCUGAGAGAACACCUCCUGCAUCCUUCAGUUUCUAACUCUCCCUCCUUACUUUCCCUUUCUUAUACCAUUGCAGAGUUCAGGGAAGCCUUUCCACAUCAAAUGAACAUGAGUGCAGUUGCUUUUGGGGUGGAAGAGGUAAAUGGUGGGGCUCCACAGGGGACUGGUGCUGUUUAACAUAUUCAUAAAUAAUCUGUACAAGGGGAUGAAUAAUAGGAAGGUGGCCAAAUUUGCAGAUGACAAUAUUAUUCGAAGUGAUAAAGGCCAAGGUGAACUGGGAACAACUACAGAAGAUUCUGGCACUGUUAAGCAAAUGGGCAACUAGAUGGCAAAUUAAAUUCCACGUAGCUAAGUGUAAAGUGAUACAUAUGACCAAAAAUAACCCAAAUUAUACCUACACUAUGACGGGCUCUAUAUUAGCUGGUACAACACAGAAAAGAAAUCUGCUAAAACAUAAGCUCAGUGCUCAGCAGCUGUCAAAAAGGCAAACCAAAUGUUAGGAAUUAAGAGAAGGGAACUGUAAGCAAAACAAGAAGGAUCAUCAUAGCCCUUUUAAAUCCAUGGUGCACCCAUAUCUUGAAUACUAUGCGCAGUUUUAGUCUCCAUACCUCAAAAAGAAUAUAGAAGAAUUAUAGUAGGUACAGAGACGAGCAAUAGGAUGAUUAUGGCGUGGCUUUCAUAUUAAGAGAGAUUAAAGAGGUUAGGCCUAUUCAGUUUAGAAAUGAGAUUUAUGAUGGAGGACAUAUUAAGGGUUUACAAAACACUAAAUGGUGAAACAAAAGUGAAUAGGGAUUUAUUAUUUACUCUCUCUCACAAUACAAGAACUAGGGUCAUAAAAUGAACCCGAAAGGUAAUAACUUUAAAACUAACAGGGAAUCCAUGGUGUGUAAUUAAAGUGUGUCACUCAUUA